rnacentral:rRNA from 1 species
GUCCACGCCGUAAACGAUGUCAACUAACCGUUGGGUUCUUAAAGAACUUAGUGGUGGAGCUAACGUAUUAAGUUGACCGCCUGGGGAGUACGGCCGCAAGGCUAAAACUCAAAUGAAUUGACGGGGGCCCGCACAAGCGGUGGAGCAUGUGGUUUAAUUCGAUGCAACGCGAAGAACCUUACCUACCCUUGACAUGUCGAGAAUCUUUCAGAGAUGAGAGAGUGCCUUCGGGAACUCGAACACAGGUGCUGCAUGGCUGUCGU